UACGGGGGGGGCAAGCGUUGUUCGGAAUUACUGGGCGUAAAGGGCUCGUAGGCGGCCAACUAAGUCAGACGUGAAAUCCCUCGGCUUAACCGGGGAACUGCGUCUGAUACUGGAUGGCUUGAGGUUGGGAGAGGGAUGCGGAAUUCCAGGUGUAGCGGUGAAAUGCGUAGAUAAUCUGGAGGAACACCGGUGGCGAAGGCGGAUCUCUGGGCCGUAACUGACGCUGAGGAGCGAAAGCAUGGGGAGC
rnacentral:rRNA from 1 species